UAAAGCAGACCCUUUAGCAUCUCUUGCAGAGCUGGUUUGGGGGAGCUGUAUUCUUUCAGGCUUCUUUUGUCCAGCAAACUCUUUAUUUGGCCUUACAUUUUAAUUGAGAGCCUUGCUGGUUAGAAUAGUGUUGGUUGCAAGCCUCUGGUUCUCAUUA